rnacentral:rRNA from 1 species
AUUGAACGCUGGCGGCAUGCCUUACACAUGCAAGUCGAACGGUAACAGGUCUUCGGACGCUGACGAGUGGCGAACGGGUGAGUAAUACAUCGGAACGUGCCUAGUAGUGGGGGAUAACUACUCGAAAGAGUGGCUAAUACCGCAUGAGAUCUACGGAUGAAAGCAGGGGAUCGCAAGACCUUGUGCUACUAGAGCGGCCGAUGGCAGAUUAGGUAGUGGGUGGGAUAAAAGCUUACCAAGCCGACGAUCUGUAGCUGGUCUGAGAGGACGAUCAGCCACACUGGGACUGAGACACGGCCCAGACUCCUACGGGAGGCAGCAGUGGGGAAUUUUGGACAAUGGGCGAAAGCCUGAUCCAGCAAUGCCGCGUGCAGGAUGAAGGCCUUCGGGUUGUAAACUGCUUUUGCACGGAACGAAAAGCCCCGGGUUAAUACCCUGGGGUCAUGACGGUACCGUAAGAAUAAGCACCGGCUAACUACGUGCCAGCCGCCGCAGUAA